rnacentral:rRNA from 1 species
AGUGAAUAGAUACCCCGGUAGUCCCAGCUGUAAACGAUGCGCGUUAGGUGUAUCGGUGACCACGAGUCACCGAGGUGCCGAAAGGGAAACCGUGAAACGUGCCGCCUGGGAAGUACGGUCGCAAGGCUGAAACUUAAAGGAAUUGGCGGGGGGAGGCACCACAACGGGUGGAGCCUGCGGUUUAAUCGGACUCAACGCCGGGAAACUCACCGGACAAGACAGCUGAAUGAUAGCCGGGGCUGAAGGCUCUGCUUGACUAGCUGAGAGGAGGUGCAUGGCCGUCGUCAGUUCGUACUGUGAAGCAUCCUGUUAAGUCAGGCAACGAGCGAGACCCACGCCAACAGUUGCCAGCUCGUCCUCCGGGACGGUGGGGACACUGUUGGGACCGCCUCUGCUAAACGAGGAGGAAGGAAUGGGCAAC